rnacentral:rRNA from 1 species
GACGAACGCUGGCGGCGUGCUUAACACAUGCAAGUCGAGCGGUAAGGCCCUUUCGGGGGUACACGAGCGGCGAACGGGUGAGUAACACGUGGGUGACCUGCCUUUAGCUCUGGGAUAAGCCUGGGAAACUGGGUCUAAUACCGGAUAUGACCCUAUGGCGCAUGUUGUGGGGUGGAAAGCCUUGUGCGGCUAGGGAUGGGCCCGCGGCCUAUCAGCUUGUUGGUGGGGUGAUGGCCUACCAAGGCGACGACGGGUAGCCGGCCUGAGAGGGCGACCGGCCACACUGGGACUGAGACACGGCCCAGACUCCUACGGGAGGCAGCAGUGGGGAAUCUUGCGCAAUGGCGAAAGCCUGACGCAGCGACGCCGCGUGAGGGAUGACGGCCU